UAUAUACUUCAUAUACUUCACAAUUUUGGUUCUAACACAAUUGAUUCUAUUAUAUCAAAUGUCUAAAAAAAAAAAUCUCCCUCUCUCUUUCUUUACUGAAUGAGAAGUUUCUUUGAAAUGAUUACAUUCGAUUUAUUGUUUUUAUGCUUUUGAACCCUGCGCGGAAUUUUCAUUCCACUAAUUGCAAUGCUUAUAUUUUCUUUUACCAGAAGAACUGCAAUGCUUAAAUGUUCUUUCUUUAAUAGUCUUAAAAGCAAAACCUGACUCUUUCCUCUUUAGCUUCCUGUCGGAAUCUUACAGAUAUGCUAAUGAGGUCAUGGGUAUUUUAAAAAUCAGGAUGUAAUCCUGAACCGAAGGCCCAACAAUACCAUAUAUGAUUAUCAUUAUAAUAGCAAAUCAUUACCACAUAUAUUGAGCCGAGGAACACUGCAGGUCUUGUUGCUUGGAGGCUUCUACUACAGAUAGAGGAGGAAAUGCCUGAGCAUGUUGAAAACACUUCAGUGAGUGAUUGCUGUUAGAGACAAAAGUCAAGUGCAUGUUGUACUCAUCUGGGAACUUCUUUAUUUGGUCUUUUUCUGAGAACACAUCGUUGGAACUUCAUUAAGCGCGAGCUUGGAUUUUGUUUAAUAGUUGGGGCUAAUAUUAUCUAAUCGGAGACUUGAUUUCAGCAUUUUCCCAGGAAUUAUUCAGAAGUAGUAAUGAAGAAAGCGGGUUAUUUUCAUUCAAAGUAAAGCAGAGAAUUGAAGAGACCUAGCAAUUCAGAAAGAAUUGGUUAUUUCAGUGAUGAAUACUAGUUUGUAAUAAUUAGCAAAAUCUAACAUCUGAGAAUCAAUCACAUCUUUGUUUUCAUCUUGCAGGGAAGGCAAUGAGACCUUAAUGAGUCUCUGUGUGUGUAAAUGAGGCUCUCCAUGCAGACGUGCUUUCAGCCUGCAGAUGGAAAUUGUUCCAUAAACAGUUGCAGGUUAAAUGGAGUUUUGCUGCACCUUGUUUUAUAACCCAUUCCGGUGCACAGAGUUAGGUACUGCUGAAGAGAGUGGUUGUAGCCCUUGAGGAGCAAACAUUUGAAAGC
rnacentral:lncRNA from 12 species